rnacentral:lncRNA from 1 species
AAAAACAAACUAUAACAUAAUAACGUAUGCAUAAUAAUGUUUGCAUAAUAAUGUUUGUAUAAUAACGUUUGUAUAAUAACGUUUGCAUAAUAACUUUUGCAUAAUAACUUUUGCAUAAUAACGUGUGCAUAAUAACGUGUGCAUAAUAACGUGUGCAUAAUAAUGUUUGCAUAAUUAGGUUAUAAAAAUGUAUAUAUGUAUAUUUAAGCACCAUUUCUAAAUAUCUAAAUGUUAUCUUUUUAAUUACACUAUUUAUUUAUGUUGUAUAAAAGAGUAACUAAAAUUACUCAGUUUUUUUUUUUUCUAUUCUUUCAUUUUUUUUCAGUUUGCUUUAAUUACAGUGUAGAUAGGAUACGUGUAUAAUAUGAACUUAUGUCAACGCUUCCUUUUUUUUUUUUUUCUUUUUGUUAAGACAAUAUUAUAUAAUGCAAAUUAGAUAUAUAUAUAUAUACAUGCACACACAUAUACAUACGUAAGAUCAGUAACAGUAAUGUAAAGCAUGAAAGACAGUUUGUUAUCCUUUAAGUACUUUUUUUUUUUUGUUAGAAUUAUUUUAAAAUAUUUCCUAAUAUUCAUUGACGGCUUGUUUUUAAUUAAGUUGGCAUAUGGUUCUACAAAGAGCAUACCCUUGAUAACAUGCAUAUUAUGUAUAAUAAUAACAGUUACAUUAAAAAUAAUAAUAACAAUAGUAUUAUAUAAUGUAUAUUACUCAAACGUAUAUAUAUCUAAAAAAUGGAGUAUACAAUAUUUUUUUAAUUCAUUCCUACGGAAUAGUACAAAAGAGUACAUAAAUUCUAGGUCAAUAGAAUCAUCCGAUUUCGAGUAUGAGAAAUUAAUAAAGCAUUUUUUUUUUAAAAGAGUUUACUAUGCAAUAAAAAAACAACAUAAAAAAUUUGAGAUAUGUAUGUUAAAAAUUUAUAACAGUGCAGUACAUUAUUAUUAUUGUAAUAUAAGGGACAUAUUAUAUACAACAUUAUGGUACACUAGUUUAUUUUAUUGGAGAAGAGAUAUAUAUACUAAUUUAUGGGAUUUAAAUUAUGUACCUAAAUAUAUGUAUAAUAUUUUAAUUAUUUUGUUAUCAUGUUCAUAUAUUGAUUUAGCUAUUAUAAUACUUAGCUAUAAAAAUUCUAGUCAAUAUAUAAUGAAAUUUCAAAUCUUAGUUGAUAUAAUUUUUAGUGCACCUAGUAUUUUUUUUUUUUCAGAACAUUUAUUUUUUUAUGAUAAUAAAUUAGAUAUAUUUUUUAUUUUAGGUUGUUUAAAAAAUGUGAAAUUAUUUUUAAAUAUAUCCUAUGCAAUAAUAGAAAAACCUGUAAUUUUUACCAAAACAGAAGUAAAAAUUAUACGAAUUAUUUUAGGAGUAAUAUUAAUAUGUAAUUCAUUUGCUUCAGUAAUGUAUACUAUUCAGUCUACUCAUCCUUAUAAAGUAGUAAAUAAUAACCAUUUUAAAUAUUUUUUAAAUACAUAUAUAGAUUAUAUAUAUUUUUCUAUAAUAUCCAUAUCAACUGUUGGGUAUGGUGAUAUGUUUCCUAGUAAUAAAAUAAGUCAAAUUAUUUGUAUUUUGUAUAUAUUUACUAGUUUUAUUUGGGUUCCUAUCCAAUUGAAUGAUUUAAUAAU